UUCCGUAGGGGGUGCCUGCGGAGGGAUCAUUA
rnacentral:rRNA from 1 species